rnacentral:tRNA from 1 species
GCUUGCGUGAUGGAGCGGUGGACAUAUCAGACUAAAAAAUGCGGGGCCUUCGGGCGUCCGGGUUCAAGUGCCGGCGCGGGCACCA